AUGAGCUUCAGCUUACACAGGAUGAGGUUUCUAUUCCUGACUCUCCUACUCGGGUUGAGCCAUCCACUCUCUCUCCUUUUCCUUUUACCUACUCCCGUCGUGCUCAACACCCUUCUCCCUCUGAUGCGCCACCUUCCACUUCCCCUCUCUCUCCGCUUCCUUUUGUCUACUCCCGUCGUGCUCGGCACCCCUCUCCCUCGGAUGCGCCCACUUCCACUUCCACUCCUUCCCUGUUGGGUCCCAUUCCUUCAGAACCACCUACCCCUCCUGCUCCUCGGUAUAAUCUGCGUGAUCGCCACUCUCCAGCCUCCUGCGUACUAUGUUGCUGCUGCUACCACUCUUGUUGAGCCGUCUACGUAUCGUGAGGCUGCUGCUCAUUCUGAAUGGCGGCAUGCUAUGGCAGAGGAAAUUCAUGCUCUUGAGCGCACAGGCACUUGGGACCUUGUACCCCUGCCUACAGGCGUUAGACCCAUCACUUGCAAAUGGGUCUACAAGGUUAAGACACAUUCAGAUGGUUCUCUCGUGCGCUACAAAGCUCGUCUUGUUGCGCGUGGCUUCCAGCAGGAGUAUGGUCGUGACUAUGAUGAGACUUUUGCUCCUGUUGCUCACAUGACCACUGUUCGCACUCUUUUGGCUGUUGCUGCUGUUCGGCAGUGGUCCAUCUCUCAAUUAGAUGUCAAGAAUGCCUUCUUGAAUGGUGAGCUGCGGGAAGUGGUCUAUAUGCAGCCGCCUCCUGGCUAUACUGUCUCUGAUGGCACUGUCUAUCGCCUUCGGCGCGCUCUUUACGGGCUGAAACAAGCUCCUCGUACCUGGUUUGAGCGUUUCUCCGCCGUCAUCACAAGGAUCGGGUUCUCUGCUAGUGUUCAUGAUCCUGCUCUGUUUAUUCACACUUCUCCUCGCGGUCGCACCCUUUUACUACUCUAUGUUGAUGACAUGAUUAUCACAGGGGCUGACCACCAAUUCAUUGAUUUUGUGAAGAAACGUCUACAUGAGCAAUUCUUGAUGACUGAUUUGGGUUCUCUUCGCUACUUUCUUGGACUUGAGAUCAUUUCUUCCCCUGAGGGUAUUUAUCUCUCUCAAGAGAAGUACAUCCAAGAUCUUCUCACUCGUGCCUGCCUCACUGAUCAGCGCACGGUUGACACUCCUAUGGAGUUUGGUCUCCAUCUUCGUCCUGGUGAGGGUGAACCCCUUGCAGAUCCCACACGCUACCGCCAUCUUGUUGGGAGCCUUGUCUAUCUAGGCAUCACUCGUCCUGACAUUUCUUAUGCUGUGCACAUUCUAAGUCAGUUUGUCUCUGCUCCCACUCAACUUCACUACAGUCACCUUCUUCGUGUUCUUCGUUACCUUCGUGGUACCGUGACUCGUCGCUUAUUCUUCCCUCGCUCCAGCUCUCUUCAGCUUCAGGCCUACUGUGAUGCUACCUGGGCCAGCGAUCCCACUGAUCGCCGCUCUCUCUCUGCCUAUUGUGUUUUUCUUGGCUCCUCCCUGAUUGCCUGGAAGACCAAGAAGCAGAAUGCUGUAUCUCGCUCCAGUGCUGAGGCUGAGCUGCGAGCUAUGGCGUCCGUGACUGCAGAAAUUACUUGGCUACGAUGGCUUCUUCAGGAUUUUGGUGUUUCCACUGCUACACCGACCCCUCUGCUCUCCGACAGCACUGGGGCACUCAGCAUUGCCCGUGAUCCUGUUAAGCAUGAGCUCACCAAGCACAUCGGUGUUGAUGCCUCCUACACUCGUUCUCAGGUGCAAGACAGAAUUGUCGCCCCUCAGUAUGUGCCCUCGGAGCUUCAGCUUGCUGAUUUUCUGACGAAAGCUCAGACACGGUCCCAACACAGCUUUUUCCUGUCCAAACUCGAUGUCCAAGAUCCCCCUUGA
rnacentral:rRNA from 1 species